UCUAAGGAGCCGUCUCUUUUUUUCAUAUUGGUGGCGAAAUGACUCAGAGGGAGGGUCAGGUUGGGGCGGAACCCUGCUGUGGCUAUUGUUGUUGGCCACGGUGAGAUCUGGCUGUCCCAGUUUCCCUGGGGUAAAGCGGGAAGGGAGGAAGUUAUGAGAGAUGAGCCCAAGCUUAUCUGUGGAUUUGCAAAACCAUGAGGAUGUUAUGACUUCCAUGUGGCCCAGAAACACCCCAUGGAAUUCAGGAUUCGCUUAUAGUAGUGAAGCGUGGGGGGAGUCUCACCAUUUUCUCUGGAGGAAAGCAUGAGUGUGUGGCCUCAGAAACGUUGCUUUGUUCUUGGCCUCUGCUUCCUCAUCUGGAAAGUGGGGGUAAUGGACUUACCUCAAAGGUCCUUUGGAGGAUUCAAUUCAUAGUGCACAAAGCAUUGAACAUAGCAAGAGAAACAGUAUGUGCUUAACUGAUGCUGUUCCUUUACAUUCCCAAUGCUGUUCUGUCAAUCUGAACUUUAAAGGAAAGAUGAGAGGAAGCGUGAACUACCUGGUUAUCUGGAGAGUUCCUGAUGCUAUGAAAAGGAGAGCGGAGGCUGGUGUCAGGGAGGAGAGGGGGUCAGAUCAAGGUCUGACUUCUGUAAAUAUCAAGUACAUUAACUGGCAUGUGUACUGGGCUGAACACAGGCCUUCACAAUGACUAAAGCCACCACAGAUUUCUCUCUAGCCUCUCGAGACACUGCCUCAGAAAGAUGCUCCCAACACAUGAAGAAUUUCUGUGUUCCCUCUCCCAGUCCGGGGGGUCUAUUUACCAUAUUGCCAGCUUCUGGAACUACUGGGUCUGCGAUCCAGGCUGAAGCCAGAGACAAGUAUACUUCAAAGCAUCUGGAUAUAAACACAAGUGUAUCAUUGGGAUUAGGAAGAUCACAUAUUUAGACUCCCAAAAAGUCGCUUUAUCCCACCAUAUAAAUGAUAUCCUAAAAUAUAUAAAAACAGACUUGAUGGAAAAAACCCACCCAAAGCCAGAACUUAUCUGGAAAUAGUUUUUUUUUUAGUUUUAUAUAAAAUUAGCCAUUACACAUUUUUUGCAAAAGCACUAAG